GCCACUGCCUCACUGCUCGUUCUGAGAAGAAAUUCUUCCUCAUAUCCCAUCUGAAAUCUGCAAUCUGAUGCAAUCUGCACAAAAGCAGGUUUCCAUUCAGCCUUGCAGUGCUUACCUCUGCAGAAAUUAUGUUCUCUGCAGGGAAAUCUUGUCACUCUGUAGGUUCUUUCCCCGCGGCUGCUUGCAACGUACAGAUCAGCAGAUCUUUCUUCACAUUUCUCCCCCAACACUGCUUACAGAAGGCAUGGAGGUAGGUAGGAUGUGAGGGGCAAAGCCACCCAAGCAGCAGACCAGAAUAUUGUGCAUUGGGCAAGCGUAAAAUCCCAAUUUUUGUCCAUUGUUUUUCCUGCUCUGUUAAAAACUGGCCUUACACACAGCCUUGCCUUGCUCUUGACCAUCUAGGUCAUCCUGAGUGCAGGGAUCCCACAAAAACACAAGGAAAAGCACACACAGCCAUAGUGGAAAUUAUCUCCAGUGCUUUUGAUGCAGAAUGAAAAAAGCCAUAUCCCCAAAGCCACGGGGCGAGAAAGUGAUAAGCCCUGCUCUAAUUCUCCUUUUGUGUGGAGUAGCGUCUCAGGAUCAGGAUCAGGAAUUCUAUGGCAACCCGAUUUAAAUAUGACAAUGUAUGGAAUCAGUAUGAAAAUUAUUACACAAUUCAGAGCCCUCAGUCCUGGGCUAGGGCUCACUGCUGACAAGCUUACAUUAAGAAGCAAUUACCUUUGAAAAUGACCCUAUCGGGCCAAGAAAGCAAAGCAAAUUUCUCUAUGUGACAGACACUUCUGGCAAUUUCAGUUGUGUUACACUCUCAACAUCUUCCAUAUUGCAUCUGCUAUUACUGUGUCUUUCUCCAGAACUGUGCACAACCACAAAGCUUCCAGGCUAUGGGGAUUUUUGCAGCUCAGGUGGGUGCAGUUCAAGAUGGAAGCUCCAUUAGCUGGAGAUGUGUAGCCAAAUGAUCGCUGACUGAACUGAUUUGCAUGGACAUCUAAAUGUGGCUUUCCGAGCUCUUCCUCCACAAACAGGAGAAGAACCACUUGUUUUUGGAAUUCGUGUCUGAAGCUGCCACACACUUCUAAGGCAAUUUUGAAUCAUAAUCAUAGAGUCAUUCAAGUUGGAGAAGACCACUAAAAUUGUCUAGUGCAACUUGCUGUCAGCUCACACUGAGUUUCCUUCACACACUGCUGUGCAGGUUUAAAACCAGCAGGAAAACUUUGCAAAGCACCCACUUCCCAUCCAUAUAUACUGGCUCCUGAAAGUUUUAGCAUCAUGGUUUCCGUGUCCCAGCCUCUGAACAAGUUGUAGAGGCUUUGGUGAUUGCCAGCUGAGGGCAGAAAUAAGUAAGGGUGAGGUUUUGGGAAAGGAAAGGAGGCCAAUGCCUUAGUUAAUAGCAGAAAGGGCUGCGAUAAUUACAAGCUCUCCCAGUACACAUAGAUGUAGCUAAGCAAGUGGUCAGGUCUCCACAUGAAACAAAAUGAAAUUAAAGAAAAACAGAAAAUAAAAACAAAAAUACAACAACAGCACUCAUAGAACUCUACGCACUCAAGGGCACGGGUGUCAGGCAGCUCUGCCAAAGCCACUUGAUGUACACUUGUGAACUGCACCCCCAUGGACUGCUCGCCUGUGCACGUCAGACAAACAAGAUCCUAUGAUGAGAGGCUGCCCCUCUGAAGGGUUGCCUUGCUUUUGUGCUUUGCUGUCUCUAUGUGUCUUUCACGAAGCUUUAUUAUCAUUGAUAAUGAAGAACUAAGAGGGAAAAAAAUUCUAUUCAAGUAUUGCAUAGUCAAAAAAUCACUUCCCUGGAUGCUGGAAAAUCAAAUAGAAGACUCCAGGGCAGAAGGGCUAAUUAAAAAAAAAAUCACACACACACACAAAAUCACAAAAGCCUGCUUUGCUAUGAAAACCCUUGAGGGGAGAUAAGAGCUGAAGUGAAGCACACGCUUGAAUAAUAAGGGUCUUAAUGGGUUUGGGUCCACGUCUACUACAAAGCAUUGAUUUUGGAUGCUUGAUGAAGUUAGUUAUUAGAUUAGAAAAAAUUAUUUAAAGAGACACUGCUCACUGAAGAUCAUUCUGUAGGAGAAGUUUGUAUUGGUGUCAUAAGUAACCACUCAUUUUAAUGAAAGGAGGCUGGAGUGAAAAAAAAUCUUUUUAGUGCCCAGAUUAUUUAUUUCACGCAGCUGGCAGAAUCUGUGGUACAUCUUAGCUUCUCCCUUCAGUGUCCACUCCUUACAACCCUGGAUUUGUAUCCCAGUCAAUCUUUGGGAAAAGGCUGCAGGGCUGCAGCAGUGGGAUCAGCAGGAGGCAAGGACUGAGGUGCUCAGAAAGAGCCCAGAUUUUGCAGACAGGAGGGGAAAGAAAGGGCUGAGGGAGACGGGAGGUUGGGCACCAAGGUCUCGUGCAUUGUCUCCUGCAAACUCAAGCUGUCUCUACAGCUGUUCCCUUCAAUAAGCCCAGCAGCCUUUGGGAUUUUCUUGCAGGGAUUAAAAGACAAGGCUUGAGUCCCAGACUUCUUAUCCAGUUUGAGAUUUGGACUUGUAAAGUACUGUCCUCUCAUUUGUACCACAGCUGAGUGCUGAGCUCCAAGAACUCAUUCCAUAUCUCCAUAUUUGCAGGGGUGAAAGUAGGUGGGAUUCAGACAUGUUAUUCUCAGGGCAAAUAUAUUGUUUUGUUCAGAAAUGGCAGAUCAGAAGUGAGACAGGGCCAGUGACACACCUGAGGAUAUUAAGAAUAUCAUUCAUCCAACCGUAGGCAUUGCAGUGGAAAUGUCUUAUCUGAACUUGCUGGUUGAGCUCCCUUUGUAGUCACUGUGAAGCAGAUGAGUCAUCUCAUCCCAGUGCAGACAUCUGAAAGAGGGCAGGUGACUCAUAUCUUACAAGUACCCACUUCUCUUCCUGAUUAUAAAGGGCAGUUCUGAUGAAGACAUUUGAUGUCAGGUGAGGUGACUCCCACCUUGACUGGCUAGACUGCCUUAGGAUGCGAAAUAUGAAGUUAGACAAAGAAUAACACAUGCAGACUGAUUAUCACUGAUCUGUAAGUUACCUUAGCCUGUGAAAUGGUAAAAAAUCUUGUGUCUGAUUGCUUCCAUGUUGCUGGAAUGACAGCCAGGAAGGCAGGCUGUGGAUUAAACACUGUGGCCUGGGUUACGUGGUUACUCAGACCAGCUGUCUGUAGUGGUCAGUUUUAGGCUGAGCAUCUCUGAGAAUCACACCAGCAAGUGAUAUAAGUGAAUGUUGGCAACCCAGCAGGUUGUCUUUGAGAGGCCCAGGAAGUCACCUCCUUUCUCAGCCUCCUGAUUUCAGUCCUCAUGCCUACAACAGUGACAGUGAACACAGGCUCAUCCAUAACUGGUGAGAUCCAAUGGCAUGGGUCACUGUGGAGCUCAUCCAGAAACUCCCAUUUGGUGGUGACUUACAGCCUGCUCAGGAGGCAAUCUGUGUAUGUAGCAUCACCAGAAACUCAGCCUGAUUAUUAAAAGCAAAAAAGCGGGUUCUCUACCAGGCUUGACAUCUAACUAGCAGUUGUUAAGUUUAUUGAUCUCAUUACCAUCCCUGCAGUAAUUCCUGCAUUUCAAAAGCAAACCUCGCACUUUGUCAUCUACAAAGUUGUCUUUGGAAGGGAUGAAGGAUUCGGAGCUCACCCAAGAUGACUGCAUGUCUGACUCCUGUAAUCUCUGCUCUCCUCCCUGGUUGUUAAUCUUGGACUCUGAAUAGUUGCCUAACUCAGCUCCUGCAAAUGUUGCCAGGAUGAGAUUCUGGGUAUGUGCUUCAUGGACUUGUCAUUAGCACCAGCUGGUCUUGCAACAGUUUUCUCAGUGUUACAGCCUGAUCAAGAUCUCAGCAGCAGUGGGAUGCGCAUCCAGUGAGGAUGAAUGACUGGGAUUCCCAAGCAGUGUCUCUACAACUAGUUAGCUGGAGGCAAAAAACAGCUGGUGGCCAAUGUGGCGCAUUCAGGGUACCCCAAAAUAUUCCUGUAGAGUGACCUAGCCAAAAUAACAACUGGAAGUGGAAAGCUUUGGAUGCAAACAUUUAUAGAUAAAUCCAUGACCACAGCUUUUGAGGCACAAAGUACAGCCAGCCUGGAGGGCAGAAGAGAGAAGAUGGUGCUCAAAGAGAAGCAGUUGGCCGCUUUUUCAGCUAUCUAAAAUUCCUGCACUAAGCUUGUAGGUGAACACAUUCCUGAUAUUUUCAUGUGUCUUAAGAUGAUGUAUUUUCAUGUGAAUUCAGAAAGAGUUGGCAUAUUGGUUAAAAUUGGUUAAAAUUAAAAUUAACACAUCUAUAAAAUGGGCAUGAUGACAACACCCAUUAAUAAUAAUUAUAGUCACACUUCCCCUGGUUUCUGAAACAAAAACCAUUUAUCCAUUCAACUGUCGCAGGAAAAAAUCUACUGUCACCUGUCUUGAUCAAGACAAGGCAGAACCUGAUGCUGAAGCUCAUUACAAGUGCUGUCCCAGGUAAUCACACUGCUCUAUUAGCUGCAAAACAAAUGAGUAUUGAGUUCUGCAGAUUUGUGUCCUAUUUUCCCUCAUCUGCCUCCAGCUAUGCCCUGCACCGUACCCCAGCUUCCAUAUAGGUCAUCUGAUAAAACAGCGUCUACAAUGCUGCCUUUUCUGACUCCUGUGCUGAAGGAAACUAGGAUUACAUAGGUCUGAUCUCUAAAUCACUGUUUAUCCAUACGGGCUGAAAUUCCAUCAGUUCUGGAAGAAGGGCAGGACAAAGGGAAAGGUCACAAUAGAAUACAUGACUGCAGAUGUACUCAGAGACCAGAAGAGCCCUUGUGUGUCAGACUGUCAUUUUUGAUGUCUGUUGGGGAUGUUCAGUUGUGAAGCAAAUCCUCAGGUCACUCCUUCCCUGGCAGCUGCAGGGUCCCACCUGUGUUCUGACUCUGCAGACCUACCUAGCCAAGUCCUACACUGCUCCAGUUCAGGGGCUAUACAUUUUAUGAGUGCUCAAAGCCAGAUUGUUUGGAUCAUUUUUCUUGACUAUGCAAACUCCAAAACAGUGAUAUUAUUAUUUAUAUCUGUCAAGUCUCUCAUUAAUCUAAAUCCUGCCCUGUAACAGAAAACACAUAAUGCCUCCUAAGGGAGGAGGUUGCCUCUGAGUCACUGGCAGAACAGCAUGUUCUCUGCUCUCAUGGGCUCUCCACCAUAUCUGGCUUUUACUUCUCCCUCUUUCUAGUUUCACAAGUCAUCUUUUGGAUUGCAGUCAUCCAUCAGAGCCCUGCAAGGUGGCAAGAAAUGAGGAGAAAUGUCUGGGCGUUCCUCUUACAGCUGCCAACCAGUAUCAGUGUUGACUCAAUGAUCUGGCACUCGUUCACCCAGCCCAGCAAUACUGAACAUGGGUUUUGGUCUGUGGAUUUGCUGUUUCUUACAACCUGUACAAAAAGUGAGCAUGAAGUUUCCCUUUGCUGCUGAGUCAUUGUGAGCUAACAGUGGGAGAAAGCACCUGAAUCUCCUUGUUCAGAAGAUUUCCAGACACUGUAACGAAUGCCAAAGUGACAUUGAACUGAUGAGGUGUAAUCAAGCUGUUUUAAUGCUCAACUCUGUUGAAAUUCUACCCUCUGCAAACAAGCUCAGAAUGACUAAUGCUACAGCUUUUUGAGUCAACAGACGCAGCUUCUAACAUACAUGCAAUAUAACCCUGACUCUUGCUUGUCCUUUUUUUUUUUUUUUUUGAAUCCCCUUAUGCAUUUCUACCAGCACCACCUGAAUGCAUUGAUCCUGAAUAUCUUAACGGAAAAAAUUUGCUAAUUGUGCUGUGCACUUGAAGCGACCUAUCACAAAGAGGUUUUCCUUGAAAUAUAAAUGACGCCUUCAAAGUUGUUGUCUUUCCAUAAACAAAUCUAUUCUAAUGAGGUCUUUUGUGCCAAGCACAUUUUCUGCUCCCCAGCGUUAAUCCCCUGGCAAGUCUCCUCAGGCUUUCAGAGUAAUCGGUAGCAUCAUUCUCAGUAAUCAAUCACAGCUCUCCUGAAUGAACACAGGCUGUAGUGGCACACGGUCCCACACACCAGGGCCAGGCUAAUGAGGCAGCACGAGCUAAUGAGGGCUGAUUUGAUUGAACUCUGGAAAAAUAAAUUCCCUUCUUGCUCUCCUUCAGCAAAUUUGGUUUUGAUAGAUAUAGCAGAGAACCCCUGAACCUUAGGUACACAUCACUACAAAAUUCUGCCUGUACUUACAUUGCAGUACUGUGAACAUCGUCCAGGUUUUCUGUUGUAAUACAGAAGUAUAAAAAUGGACAAUCCAUGCUGGGACAAGAAAGCCAUUUGUACUGUAUACAGAAAGACACUCAGGCACCCUUUUAAGUACAGUUGAAAUUGCCAAGAGGUGAGCACAUCCUAGCUCCUGUUUUAGAUAGAAAGAGAUGUAAACUCUCUGGGGCUGAGUGUGCUUUUCCUGUAAAAAUAUGCAUUUUAUAAAGGACUUUGUUCCCUGUACCGUCUGGGAAAUGAACAAAUGUUGCCACAAAUACUAAAUAUUUCCAACUACAUCAUUCUGUCUUAACCUAUACACUAAAAAGAAAAAAUCAUAAAAUAAUAGAAUCAUUACGAUUGGAAAAGACCACUAAGAUCACCUACUCCAGCCAUCAGUCCAUCACCUCCAUGCCAGCUAAUCAUGUCCCUAAGUCACAGAGUUGUUGUGAGUUGUGGUUGAUGUAUUAUCUGUGCCUAAUGCUGCUGCUGCUAGAUGAAAAUACAAACAGAAACAGUAAACUGCACCCCUGCAAAUGAUGCCGCUAGGCUGAAUAAUUAGAAUUGCAUUGUGCAAAACUUGCUGUCAUGAUGGAUUAGAGAAGGCAGUUACACUGAGCUUCUUAAAACCUGCACAGGGCUAACAAACUGCAGCUCCACAGCACCAAAAUGUAGAAUCCAGUUUUGCUUUCUCUCCUUUUAUUUCAUUAACACAAAGUUCUCUUGCAAUGAAUGUCUGCAAACACCAUUGUCACACCUGGCAAUCACACUGGCAAUGGGAAUGAAGGGAUUUAACAGAGAAAUGGAGCCUGAAGGGGACAGCCAGCUAACCAGGAGUUGUACAGAGCAUUCCCAGCAGAUGUCUGCUUCCCAGACUAAACAGAAAGUCUCAGAAAGCAGGAGGUAACUUAGCACAGCCUUGAAGCUCCUCUGCUUUGCCCUAGAGGGCUGGAAAGUGCAAAGGUAGAGAUUUUCCCUCAACCUCAGUCCAGGGACCUGGCUCAGUAAGAACUGAGUCUAGUUUUUGCUUACAUUAAGCCUGAUUAAGAAACGCAUAUAAGUUAUUUUGCAAAUUUGCACUCACACAGAGAUUAACGCAAUCCAACAGUGACAAAAGUAAGCAAAUCAAACUCUUCCUCAGCAACCAUUAAAGCUACUGCUUUUCAAAUGAAAAAUGUAGGACUAUGUUUGAGUAUGUACAAAAAUAGGUGCUGUGUCUGUAAAAUGUACAUUUGCAUAAAAGCCAGCUCCUUUUCUGAGAGCUGUUAUAACAGGAAACUUUUAAAAUAAAACGCACAACAAAUAAAUAAUUUAGAGAUCUAAUUUGUAUGAAUCUUCUUCAAAAAUACAUGUAUGUUGAAGGAGAAGGCAACUGACCAUUAAAAUACAGAGCCACGAGCUCACUGUGGAAAAAAAGAUAUUUUUAGUCAAAUUAAAAAAAAUGUUUUCUAUUCAAGGCUUCAUAUCAUGCUGUAUUAAAUUAUAAGAGUGUAAACUGGUUCUGAUUUGAGAAGAAAUGGCAUUGCAAGAUGCGAUGUGUCAGAAAUGUAAUUGUAUAUUGCACACUGAUGCUCUGCUUGUCUUCACUUUGUUGGAGGCUGACCAAACUAGGAAGCUCAUCAUAGCCAGGAUAAUUUUAACCGUCAAGAGUCCAGUCCCACAGCUCUUAAACACAGAAUUAAUAUUUUUCCCUUGUGUCAUCAAUACAGCAAUUUUUGUUAGUUAAGAAUUUACAGGAAAUAAAUCCCCCAAAGUAUAGUUACAGCCACUGGGGAUGGAGGGGAGCCCUCUCUCUGAAAAUUAGACUGUAAGGUUCAAACCUGCAAAAACAUUAGGGGCUGAGGUUGCCCAGAAAAGCUGUGGUGCCCCAUCCCUGGAGGUGCUCGAGGCCAGGCUGGAUGGGACCCUGGGCAGCUGAUCUGGUGGGUGGCAGCCCUGUCCACGCAGGGGUUGGAAUUGGGUGGACUUUAAGGUCUCUUCCAACCCAAAGCAUUCUGUGAUUCUAUGAUUGAUUCUAUGACAAAAAUAAUCUUUUGAGAGUCCUCCCCACUGUGAAGGGAAUGUUAAUGGCAAGGAAGUCAUGCAGCUAAACACAUGCUGAGAAUCUGGCUCUGAAUGCUGAUUGUGCCAAUCCCCACAUUGCCACAUCAGUGCCAGGAAAAUUACUGACCCUGCUUCACUGAAUCUCUUCCCUUCCCUUCCUCCAGGGAACGUGACUUGUUCCUAACACACAUCUAACCUCUCUUGUGAGACAACAGCCUCCUCUUCUCCCAGUCUCACUGACUUCUAUGCCAUAAUGGCCAAAGCCUGCUGUUCAGGCAGCUGGAACAUUGUGAAGUACUAACAAAAUCUAGUCAUACAGGAAGGGCAUUCCUUUUACCUGAAUUUGGACAGGUUUGUAUGCAUAAGCUGUACUGCUUCAGCCAUUCCAACACAAACUGGUAUUGCCAACUUGGAAGGCAUUUAUGUUGCACUGAAGAGCACUGAAAAAGAAAUACUUCUAUUAGCUUUGUAGGUUAUCCCUAUGUAUCUUUUCACUGCCAAAACAGAAAAAUAACUCCUGAGUGGCCUACCUACAGCAACAGUGACUUCUGUUUGGAGAAUAGACACCUGGUGAGCUUGUAUCUUGGAGGUCUGAGAGUUACAAGACAAUGCUGGAAAACAAGCAGACCUGAGAGAUCCUCACUGUGCCAACAAAACCUCACCAGCUGUCUAUGUUGUUCAGAAAUUAGGUUAUCUUCUACCUAGAAACUCAAAGCUUUAACUCAUCAUAACUGCUGAAUGUCAGUGCUCAGGAAUAGAACUCUUCAGGAAAAAUAGAAUCAUGAAGGUUGGAAAAGACCACUAGGAUCAUCUAGUCCAACCAUCAACCCAUCAUCACCAUGCCCAGUAACCACAUCCCUCACUGCCACGUCUACACGUUGUAUGAAAACCUCCAGACAAUGAUUCUACCACCACCCUGGGCAGCCAGAAAAGCCAGUUCUUGAUUCCAAAGCACUACUGGUUAUUGAAAGAAAAGUGAAUGAUUAUUCUGAAUAGGUGACAAAUCCAAAAGCAACAAGAAAAAAAAAAAAAAAAAAAAGAAAACUAAUAAUAAAGCUCAGCAAUUCACUCAACAAACGUCCUAGAAGGCUUACCUGAGAUUAGAUGAUGAAUGCAUGAACUUUUUGGUCCUGCACUUAAUUCAACCUCUACUUCAACUCUAAGCUCUUCUUAUUAACCCACAAUAUGGCUGUUUAUUUGGUGUUGUCUGUCAGGCUAAAGAGUAUUUAAUGGUGGAUAAAAAAUUGAAUGAAAAAUUCAAGAGAGAGCAAAUUGAGAGAAGAAUUCACCAAGUGAAUCACUUUGAGAACAGUGAGCCUUCCAGCUAGCACAAGGCUCCUUCUGUCCAUAUACCUGAAGGUCUAAUGUAGCUGGUCAAGACUGUGAAACAUUGACUAUGGAGGGCUUCUGACUUGCAGAGGUUCAGUACCAUGAGUUGGAGGGGAAAGAAAACCACACGGUGUACUCUCCUCCUGAAAUUGGGUUGCCAAGGGAAAAUAUGAAAGAAACAAGCAAAACCUCAUGAGACCUCUGGUUCCCUACAAGUGGCUUUGUGCUUUCAAUUGAUACUGUUCUGAAAGUUGUCUGCUGUAUGUCUAUUUGGAUCUGCAUGCUAUAUCUGAUACAGAAUACAAUUUUUAGAUUCUGUAUGUUAUGAGGGGAAAAUAAACAGCAUGGAAAGACAUGUGGCAGGGGGGUUGGAGAUUCAUGAUCCUUGAGGUCCCUUCCAACCCUGGCAAUUCUGUGAUUCUGUGAAAGCACCACUGUCCAGCUUACACAGACUUAAUAACCAUAUUUCUCCAAGUUUUCAGCUGGUCUUGCUAGCUUGCUUCAUUGACUUCAUAGUGGAGUUAUUCCAGCCUACACUAGCUGAGGCUGUAGCCCACCAGAUUACACAUUGCCAUGUGAAAAUGCUUAGUGGUACAGUUUAUUUUCUCAUUUGUAGACCCUGCCAACUGGCACAGCCCUCUUAUGUCUUUCUUCAUUUGCUGUCCUCUGAAAACAUCUUCUGUGUUGUCUAUAGACAUUUUGCUUUUCCCUUGCCAAAUAUUAGCUUUCUGACUGAGCACUUCCUUUGAUUCCUUUUGAAAUAUCUUCACAACUUUACCUUUCUCCCAACAUAAUGCCCUUUGAUUUCUAUUAAGCAAUGUUGUAUUGUUUUUACGUGCAGUAUGAUUAAGAGAAAACAAGUUUAUUUUUGAAAACAUUUAUGCAGCAAAUGAGUUCCAGUGAUUAUAAAUAAUAAAGAAAAACUAAAUAAUGCACUCCUUCCCAUGAGUCAUAUGUAGGUUGGCUACUUUUCUGAAUUCUCCUCCUAAAAAAAGAACUUUGCUUUCAUUGAGAAGACAAAAGCUGUCCUAUGAAGGCACCUCAGAGCUAUACAGUAACGUGUGAAAAAUCAUGGCUGUGCCAGAAUGAGGUGUUGAACUUGAAAACACUUGUGACAGAUACAGAAGGCAGUCUCCCAGUGAUGCUUGUGGGUUGGUCCAUCCCACAAAGGCCUGUGCCCCUCUAAUGAGGGCUGAAAUUAGCUCCUUUACGAAUGAUAUAGAUAGAUAGAUAGAUAGAUAGAUAGAUAGAUAGAUAGAUAGAUAGAUAGAUAGAUAGAUAGAUAGAGGAUGUUUUUCCUAAUGAUCUAGGUGCAAAAGUGCAGGAAAUCUGGGCUCACUCUCCACUCUCCAUUCUCUUUGACUUAAGGGACAUCUAAGGUUGCCCGCUCCUUUCAAGACACAGUGUCUUUUAGCUUUUAACUUUCAGGCUUUGGACUUUAGGGCUGAUAAAAUGCUAGAUUAUAGCCUUACUCCUUCAGAAUGAAUGCUAACCCCCCCGCCCCCACCCUGUAGCCACACUGAUGUCAGUGGGAGGACCUAAGAACUAAUAUUCCCUUUGCUGUGAUUGAGGGUACUAGAUUCUGAUGUGAAAUUACAUCAGAAUUAUUUUCUUCUGUUCUUCUGCUUUUCUCACCUGAGUUCUGUGGUCUAAAUAAACUGAAAAAGCUUUUCUAUCAUAUAAACACUAUCUUACCUCAGUGAUGCAUAGGGUACUCAUACCAAACUACAACCUGACCUUCAACAAGCCUGCAAUAAUUGACCCUCACAGCUGUGUUCUCAUGGCUUCUGGGAUCCUGCACACUACUCUGGAAAGACAGGUUGGUCAUUCUGCCAAAGAUCAUUUAUUUAUUUAUUCUUCCUGGAACAUCCAGUCAUCCUGAAAGACUUCUUCCAGGACUCCUAAAAGAAGGCAACUUUACUGGUGUGGCUGUGCCAUGUUCUACCUAAGGUACAGCAGCUCUUCGGAAAGAUACAAUUCACUGGUCAUGUCAGUCAGUACUGUUUGCUGCUCCCAGUCUGAUCUUUUCUGCUUUUUGGGUCUCUUGUCCUCCCCAGGAACACUAUGGAAAUGACCACAGGUCCCUAUCCAUGACCAGAGUGCCACAGUACAGGGCAACGAAUCAACAAUCAAUUCUUAGCUUCGAAGCACCGCUCUGAGCAGAGAUGCUAAGGCCCAGCACAAGGAAUUACUUGAACCUUCCACCCCCGUGGCAGUGUGGGAUAUUCAAGCAGCUCUUGGGUUGUUGGUCCUCAACGUGUUUUAAGACCAGGCCCAUAUCUAGGAUAUUAUAUAAGGUUUGGAUCACUUAGUGUGAAUAAACAGUGACUCAAAAAUAAACAGUGAAUGUGGUAUGCAGGGUAGAUGACUUCUAACAGCAAACGAAGCAGACUUGAUAUUGAGACAAGGUGUUUCUCUCCUGGAGGAUGUCAUUCGAUUCAGUCUAUGCUGGUAAGACUAUUAGAGAAGACAAAAUAUAUUGCAAAAGAUCAAGAGCUGAAAAAACAUUUAAGCAUAAAAGCAGGGGUGGCAUUGAGGCCAUACAGAGAGAGCUCUUCUUUUUUGCUUGUAAACACAGCGCUGGUAGUUUAACUGAAUGAAAUGGAAACAUUGUGUAUAAUACAGAAAGAGGAGUUGGGGCUGACUUUGGUGACUUUCUAAUAGCUGCCUGGCCAGCUGGCAUAGCUGAUCACUAAAUACCAUCAAUCUUUUGCAGGCCACAGUCAAGGAGUAAAGAGGACACAGUUCACUCAGCUGGGAAUGCUUGCAGGGCUCUGAAUGCUUGAGGCCUUCCAAAAACUAUUGCUUUUCCUCUUCUCAUAUCCAGCAUCUUUUCACCUCUGUUUUCUUCUAGACUCUGAAAUUUACUUGCUGGUCUAGUUCUUACUAACUUCACAGUGUUAAUCAAGAAGCAGAGCUUCAGCUAAUUUUGAUUUUAAUUAUUUAUUUAUUUUAAUCUAGAGGAAUUAAAUUCUAAGGACUUCUGGUAGUUUUUGAUCUCUUCCUUCCAAUGCUGAACUUUAUACUGGGUGAAACAGGAAAAAACAAUAACAAUAAACAAACAAUCAAACAAACAAACUCACAAAAAACACACAAAGAAAUCUGCCUUUGGGAAAAAAAAUUCAGUAUUGGCUGGUCCCGUGCCUUGAUCCUAUGACAUAUUUCACCUCAAUUUGAGUCAUUGCAAGACUCGUGGAACUGCAAUCAAAUUAUUCUAGUGUAUAUGCAAUUCACACCCAUAUAGCCAGCUAUGGGCGUCCCACAAAAAUAAAUCAAAUAAAGCUGUACAAUGGGAAAAAUUCAUUUUACCCUGAAGGUAUGCAGAGCUGAAAAAAUAUGUCUGAGACCUCUACUACAAUAAUGUAUCGUGCAUAGCAAACAGCUUGGAGAAACAAUAACAAUCAAUACAUUGAAGACAAGGUAUCCAAAACAGAGCUGUAAAUCUAAGCAUCCCUAAUGCCACAAUACUUCUGCAGCAAGUCUGACAGACCUGUGGUGCUUUUAUGGAUGCAGCCUUGUCAUACCUGAGAUUUUCACAACCUCCCUUAACUGACUCAUUGUAAGACCAGGAAGAUGUCAGUGAAGGGAAGAACAGGAGAGUUCUUCUAAGGAAAGGUGGAAGGCAGACCCAUUUUACAUCCUACCAAGCUGCUGUGGAUUUUCAGUUUGAAAUAUGCAGUCUCACUCCCAGUCAUGAAUAUGCGCGCAUGUGAAUGUUUCAGAAGACCUACAAGCUCACCUUACUGCAGUUGCAUAGAUUUAGCUUGCUGCAUGAUCCUUGAAACACUGGUCAGCUUGUUUUGCAAGUAAAACACACAGAAUCACCAUAUGGAAUUUAAAUUUCCACUAAAGAACAAAAAUGCACCUACCCAUUGUGGUCGUUCAGGAAAUCUCCCUAGCAGAACCCAACUGUGCAGUGUUUCCUUUCUUGAGUCUGAAAAGAGCCUGAAACAAUACCCAUCAGAGAGGUAAGCUGCCCAAACUGCUUGUUUCCAUUCAGAUUUUGACUCAAAACCCUAUUGACACCAUUAUAGAUGUCAACAUUUGAUACACAAUACACGAAUAUAUUUUAGCAGAUGGAGAUGAAUGGAAAUGAAGCCAACAUGCUGUUGAGGCUCGGUUCAGAAUUACUGGGAGGAGGAGAAUUGGGAGAGGAGGGGUGCCAAGAAGGAAGUAGAGCAGAAACAGAGAAAGGAAGAUAGGAAGGGAGGAAAAAUCACUCCCACCCUUGGUGAGGUGAUUCUGCUGAAUCAAGCACUGAGGAGUAAAAGAAAAAUAAACAAUGCAUUACUUGCUACAGCAAACGAUUAGGCUUUGCUUUUGCUCUUUGUAUAGAGCUCCCUCUGAGAUCAGCAGGUGUAGACAGAAGGCGAUGCGUUUGCUUAGAUUCACACCACAGCCCCUUCUUCACUGUCAGGCAUGGAGGUUGUUCUCCUCCACAGGAUGAACGGGAUGUCCCUAAUGUUACAGACAGCUCAGAUAAAACAGCCUGCUAACCACCCAUUUUGAAUUAACAAGAGUAACUCACAGUGUAAAUCCAAUAGCUCUAUGGAAGCUACAAAAUGGCACUGAAGUUUUGAUAGGGUUUUGUUGUAACUAAAAAUUAUGGUCCUAGAUUAAACAGAUGUGUGAUGUGUGAUGCUACCAUUCAUCACCCUGUGAAGGAAUGAGUACCUUUUUAAAAAAACUCAGUUAAACAGCAGAAACACAUAUAGUAGGGACAAACUGACAGCAAAAUAGUCCUUCCAACCUGCAGAUGGAAACCGUAUUUCUAGAAUCUAAUAAAAUGACAACUGUAUUUCUAGAAUCUGAUAAAAAGAUGCCAGAGGCCAAGGAUGAGAGUAGAUGUGUGAGCAAAAGGUAAAAAAAAAAGAUUUUACAACGGAGGGACCAGGAUACCAAGAACUUACUGUUCAACAUGUAUAAAGCAGGCUCACAGUGUGAUUUUCAAGACCCCCUUCACAUUUUCUAAAGAAGAACAACUGUGAAUUCUCUCCCUAUUUUCUGUUCCUAUAGUGUUUAUGAACUGAACAUUUGCACUUCUUUUCUUAGACAAAGGUGAUUUUUCACAAAGUCUCUGCAUUUAAAGGACAAGUACAUCAAUUCACAACAUUCACUAUUCUUGUGCUUUUCUUUC